rnacentral:lncRNA from 1 species
GUCACCUUAAUUUCAGUGUUAGUUAAUGAUCAUUAUGUCCUCUGUUCUAUAAUGAGAGUGUUUUUAGAGUAAAACUGGCAAAGGUGACGAUAACAAGAAGUUAACUGGAAAGGAUUAUUGAAGAACAGAAACUCAGCACAAGACUUCAGAGAGCUUUGAUUCACAGAAGAGGUAACUGUAAGCCAGACUUGACAUUGGAGUUUACAAAACAAAAUGUAAUUAUUUUUAAUUGUGGUGAUACACACACACACACAUAAAAUUGACUAUGUUAACCACUUUAAAGUAUAGAAUCACAUAGUUACUUUCACAUUGUUGUGAAACAGAUCUUCAGAACUCUACACCCAUUUAAAAAAUAACUUUUGGGCUACGGCUAUAGCUUAGUUGGUAGAGUGUUUGCCUCUCAUGCACAAAGCCCUGGGUUCAAUCCCCAGCACCAUAAAAAAAAUGAUAAUAAUUUUCUCUUUCUCCCUCCCCUCUAGCCCCUGAAAAAUCACCAUUCUACUCUCUUUCCAUGAACUUGAUUAAAUACCUCACAGAAGUGGAAUCAUACAGUAUUAGUCUUUUUGUGAUUGGCUUAUUUCAAUUAGCAUAAUUGUCCUCAAGGUGCAUCCAUGAGGGCUGAGCAUGGAUCUCAGUGGUAGAGCAUUCAGGCCUUGGGUUCAAUGUCCACACCACACCCAAUAAAGUUCAUCCAGGUUGUAUCACGUGUCAGAAUCUUCUUCCUUCCCAAGGCUCAAUGCUAUUCUAUUGUGCGUAUAUACCACAUUUUGUUUAUUCAUCUAUCAAUGUAUAUUUUAUUGGUCAUUGUAAAUUGUGCUGCUGUGAAAAUAAAAGUGUGCACAUCUCCUUAAGACCCUGCUUUCACGUAUUUUGGAUAGACACCUACAAGUGUGAUUGCUGGAUCCUGUGGAAAUUCUAUUUCUAAGUUUUUAAGAAACCACCGUAUUGUCUACACCAUUUGACAAUCCCACUAGCAGUUCAUAAGGGUUCCAAUUCCUCCCCAUCCUUACUAAUAUUUCUUUCUUGAUUUUUGUUUAUCAUGGCCAUACUAACAGGUGUGAAGUGAUAUCUCAUUGUGGUUUUGAUUUGCAUUUCUAGAAAAUGCAAUUUUUGUGGUGCACGUUCAUACUUUUGAGGCAAUAUCAUAAAUAAUAUUUAUAUAUCUAUUGGAAGUAACUGUUGGGAAAAUAGCAAAAAUGCAGGUGCAAAUUCUCUGUAGAUUUGCUAUUUGUCAUCAAACUUUUGAGCACAGUCUAAAUGUAUUAGCCAAACUCCAGAAACUGAAAAUCUUAUAUGAGACAAGACAGAUACUGAAGGGAUCCAGCUCAACCCAACUGCAGAAUAUCUUGACUCAUAAACUCUACGAUUGCCCCCAAGUAACCCUGGUCUGUUUCCCCCUGCAUAGUUUCCAGUAUGCUAUAAAUAAACAAAACCAUUAGAGUGGCAUGUGGAGCUUUAGAACUGGACACUGUCACCAUCAGCACCAGGAAUGCUUCUGAUGUCCUUGUUGUUCAAACCAGGUACUUUCUGAUUUAGACAUAAGUCACUUUUGUCCUGACCACUAUAUCUCCUACAGCAACAUGCUGGCUGAGGAAUCCCAGGAGAGAUGCCCUAAAGAAUAAGAAGUCUCUGGGGCUGGGGAUGUGGCUCAAGCGGUAGCAUGCUCGCCUGGCAUGCGUGGGGCGCUGGGUUCGAUUCUCAGCACCACAUAAAAGUAAAAUAAAGAUAUUGUGUCCACCUAAAACUA